UAAAAAUAAUUUUGUUUGAUCUUGCGAUUUAUACAGCUUCUAUACACGCAUGAGUACAACAAGAGGCUUAACUGUUUGAGAAAGUUGUGGAGAUACCAGUUAUUCGUUAUAUCACAUCUUCGGAGAUUGAUAAAGUCGAAAAGCAUAUUUCGGAUAACGGACCUGUGUGGACAACAAAUGAGAGUGAAAAUGAAGAAGAAGAGGGUCGUUCAACGGAGGAGUAUACACUACGACCACCCGUUGACACCACAAUAAGCUACAAAAGAAGGACUGCACGUGUAGUACAAAACGUAGAAACCUAGAAAGACCCAAACGAUAACGAGAACAUUGAUGAUAUGAUGGAUUUCAGUUUUGAACUCAAUGAAAUGUCUCAGUUGAACCUUGAGAUGGGAGUUGGAACACAGACACAGAAAAUGAUGGACUAUUGUAACACUCCUGUUCCACUUUCACCAUCGGUAAUAUACGAUACAACCCAUGGACGAGAUCGAGAGGCUUCGAAAACUAACAAAAAGGUAAGCGCAAAAAAUAUUAAAUUUCACUUAAUCCAUUUAUUUUUAACAUCUGGAUUGUUAGUAUCUUAACUCAAAAAAUAUUACAGAACCUGUUGAAAAAAAUGAAAGCCAAUGUCAAAAAUAAAUUAAAAUGCUUUAAGAUGUUCAAGGAAUGAACAACUUAGUUUCAGAACCAAGUGUUUUUGGGAUCCGGAGAUUAUGGAGGCCUGUAAACAGUGGGAUAAGACACUUAGGAAUAAUCUCAUUUGUGUGCCGCCUGAUUCCAUUGAAGAACAUGAAACUGCACCCUCUGAUGUUCAUCAAUAGCAUGAAAAUGCAGCUUUUGAAAUUCAGCAUGGAGAUACUACAAACGAAGAAAGUAGACAGAAUGAAGAAGCUCAACAAGUAAUAUCCAAUGUUUUGGAACAAAUGGCAACAGAAACCAGAUGAUGAAGGAUUGACAAAUAAAGAAGAUGAUGGAGGAGUGAGACACCCUUAUUGCAAACAUUCAAACUGUCGAAACGGAUGUAUACACUUACAAACCACUUGUCAAAGAAAGUGGUGAAAACGAAACUGUUAUCGAAGAAACAGUGAACUUGGCAGAAUCUACACAAAACAUUCAAGAAAAAGUUUAAGAAAAAGAGCCAGAAGUGGAAGCAGUUUCUUUAGGAGAAACUACACAAAAGACCGUCAACAAACCGAUUCGGGUAUCGAAGUUGAGAAGGAACCAGAAGUUGAAUGCCCUUAGGUGUUGGAUUAGGAAUUGCAAUCAGUUGAGUCAUUUUUUAGCCUGGGACCCAUCCUGGAAGAAAAUAAGGGAAAAAAAAGCAGCUAGGGGGAGAAAAAACUCAAAGCCAAAACAAGUUGUACCAAAGGGGUUAAAUGAACUCCUUUAUAAAACAAUAGAGGCAGCCAAAAUUCGAGCCGAGAAAAGAUGUGUAGAGCUUGGAGACGCAUUUUGUUCCCCUUUCUACAACAGAGUGGUAAACAUGCACGAAGCACUCUUAAAUCAAGAAUUGACUGUGAUCCGAUAUACAUUUGCUACAUUUGCAAACAUAGAAAAUGAACUUUACCGAU